CAAAAUACCACCAGGGAUCACCUCGACCCAGAUAAGGGCCUGAAGGAGGAGAGACGAGAAAGAUAUGGGCAGGAAAGGCUAAAGUCACAGGGCGAUGCUGCUCCUCACUGCUCACCUUCAACACAAGGGACAUCUUCUUUCUCCUGUGGUAAAGGAAACUGGUUGAAGAGAGGCAGCUCACAAUCAAGGAGUAGACAGAGAGGGACACUGAUAAAUUCUACCAAAGUUCAGACCAGCAGUCUCAAGAUGAAUACUCAGUUCUAUCCACAGAAAUCCCAUUUUGAACCCAAGCUAAAAAAUCUCUUCAAUCAUCAACUCAAAAUGAAAUCACUCCUCAUUCCAGGAAUACCAUACAUAACAAUUCAAGGUGCCUUACUUAGUCCAGGUAAGCUCUCUUCCCUUCCUAGUUCUAGUACACUACUCCCAAUUACCACUGGACUUUUCUAUAUGAAGCUACAAAUACUCUGACAGUGGAUCUAGGGCAGAUUUUCAUGAGCUUUUUGAAGAGGAGGGAAAGCUUUUAACUGGAUUUUAGAAAAAGGGUCAACAAAGUAAAAGAUGGGCGAGUGGGAUACCUCUGACACUAGGCAGCCUUAUAUGAGACAUAUCCAAAAUACGAAAUCUGGGGCACCUGGGUAGCUCAGCUGGUUAGGCAUCUCACUUUGACUCAGGUCAUGAUCUCACGGUUCAUGAGUUCGAGCCCUGCUUCGGGCUCUGUGCUGACAGCUCAGUGCCUGGAGCCUACUUCGGAUUCUGUGCCCCCCACCCUUGCCCCUCCCCUGCUUGUGUUCUCUCUCUCUCAAAAAAAACCCCAAAAAACCAAACAUGUAAAAAAAUAUAUAAUUCAAAAUGGGAAAUCUGAGUUUAUUUAAGACAGUGCUCGAAUAACUGA